rnacentral:rRNA from 1 species
UACGUAGGGACCAAGCGUUGCUCGGAUUUACUGGGCGUAAAGGGCGCGUAGGCGGCGUGGUAAGUCACUUGUGAAAUCUCUGAGCUUAACUCAGAACUGCCAAGUGAUACUGCUGUGCUCGAGUGUGGAAGGGGCAAUCGGAAUUCUUGGUGUAGCGGUGGAAUGCGUAGAGAUCGGGAGGAACACCAGUGGCGAAGGCGACUUCCUGGGCUGUUCUUGACGCUGAGGCGCGAAAGCUAGGGUAGCAAACGGG